UUUGAGUGGUGAAAGGUCAAGGUCAUCUUUCAAGGUCAGAGGUCAAAUAUAUGUGGCCAAAAUCGCUCAUUUUAUGAAUACUUUGGCAAUAUUGAAGAUACCAACUUGAUAUUUGGCAUGCAUGUGUAUCUCAUGGAGCCGCACAUUUUGAGUGGUGAAAGGUCAAGGUCAUCCUUCAAGGUCAGAGGUCAAAUAUAUGUGGCCAAAAUCGCUCAUUUUAUGAAUACUUUGGCAAUAUUGAAGAUACCAACUUGAUAUUUGGCAUGCAUGUGUAUCUCAUGGAGCCGCACAUUUUGAGUGGUGAAAGGUCAAGGUCAUCCUUCAAGGUCAGAGGUCAAGUAUAUGUGGCCAAAAUCGCUCAUUUUAUGAAUACUUUGGCAAUAUUGAAGAUACCAACUUGAUAUUUGGCAUGCAUGUGUAUCUCAUGGAGCUGCACAUUUUGAGUGGUGAAAGGACAAGGUCA